GCAGAUGAAUGGUCUCUCUGGCUACCUUUAGACUUUCUUAUCAGCUUGCAGCUGAGCCCGUGCUUUCCCCACACCCCACUUCGUAAUUUCUGCAUGUUUGGUUGUUCAUUGCAGUGUGUUUGGAAGCAGUUAAACCUGUGGUGCUGUGAAGAAUCUGGCCAGCAUACAGGUUCCCAGCCCUGAAAGUGAUACAGGUGUCAGCACAACCCAGCAGGCUUGACCCAGCUGAUCCACACCUUCCAAAUGUGCCUUUAGAGGCAACUAGAAACACCUGCCCUGCUUAUGAGAUGUUAAAAGUGUAAGGGUUCUCACUAAGGUAGUGCUCUAAGAUUUAGGUAAGGUGACUGUGACUGUCUCUGUUAUGAGGAGCUAGGCAGGCUGGUGCUCUGGUCUUGCUUGUGAUGCCAUAUGCAGCAGAAAUCAGAGCUGUCUUCUGGCAAAAAGGCUCAAAGGUCCCGCUGAAGGAGCAGAAAACAAGCUGGGAUUGUUCCACCUGCAUAGCUGGCCUUCAGCUUUCAUGUAGCCACACACUCUCUGCAAUACCAGGGGGACCCACCUGUGCCUCCAGCGCUGCCAUGUCUUGGGACAGAAAUGAAGCGCCUUGCUCAGCCACCAGUGUGGUGUUCAAGCUGGAGGACAAUGCACAGUACGAGUUCCUCGUUGUGUGUCCCACUGCCAGAACGGUGCAGAGACCCACAGGGGAUGCCCUGAAUGCAGCUUAGGAAGAUGUGGGGUCCUGUGGUGAGAGGCAUGUCCCAUGUGUUGGGGUGUGUGACCGGGUGUGGAGCUGAAGCUGGCCCUGACCCUCCAUCGUGGUGGAACUGGGAGCAGGCUCCUUGCUGCUUGGAGGAGGGACAGAGGGAACCCAGAGCUCAGCACUGCCUCAGAGAUUGUUGCCAAGAGGCUAAUCGUCUCCUUGCGGAGGCACUAGUGGAAGUGAUUGAGACGAAGGGGUGUCACAUCAUCUUGAUGCUGAAGAGCAUUUGUGGAAGUGGUUUUUCUGUAAUGAGCCAUAACGUGUUGUGUCUUCGCACACCUCUGAACAAGGCUAUGAACACAUCAGAAGAUUUUUCUAACAACUGGGUCAGCAGAAAAACAAAAGGAAGGUGGGAGCUGCAUCUGAAUACUUUAAACAGCUAAUUCUAGUGGCAACCAGUGGCACAACAGAUGCUUCAUGAACGGGUGAAGCAUCUCAGGUGUGUUGGUGGAGACACAACGGUGUGGAGAGGAGGGAGUUUGAGCAAGAAGAUAGAAACUGGACUCUCUGCUCCUCUGCAUCUCUGGGCUCUGUGACGUGAUUUGCUCAGUGUCUCACCAUGCCAGCGUAUCCAUAGCGAUGCUGAGAGACUUAAUUCACAGUGAGCGAGUUACAUCCACAGCAGCGCUGUGUGCCCCCCAUACCUGUGUGUAGCUCGGUGCAGGAGCAGCUUUGUCCCCACGCUGUCCUGUACUCGAAAGGGAAGCACAGGGCAGUACCCUGUGGCCAAAGCCACAGCUGCGGCAGCACCUGGGGAAGUGUUGGGAGCGCUGCUGGCUCUUGCCAAGAUGUGCUUGGGCAGACCAGGGUGCUCUCCUGGCGUCUGACCACCUGUGUGCUCCUGAAACAUCCCUGCUGGAAAUGACACAUCCCUGUGGGUCAAAAAACCUUUCUGAAGAAUAAGUUUUUAGCCUGGGUCUCCCACACCCAACGCUCAUAACCUCACUGCUGGUUCACUUUCCGGUAGGGACAGACUAUGUUACAGAGCCAGAAUUUCAUGGGCAAAUAAGUCCCAGC
rnacentral:lncRNA from 1 species